rnacentral:ncRNA from 2 species
CAUUUAUCUAGAGUCAGGGGAGGAAUCUGGUCCAAUGAUCCUGCAGCAACCGCUUGUCACAAGCAAGGUGCUCAUUCCAGCAGACUUUUUGUCUGAAAGAUGAAGC